GUGGAAAUAGUGGGGUUUGUCGGCGUCGUGGGGGCUGUCUUCUCUUUUUGGUAUUGUUGAAGAAGAAAACAUGCAUAUCUCAAGUUUUCAAAGGAAAGCCCAGAUGCAGCUUGAAAAGAGCUCAAAGUUCAGUUGUUAUCAGAUCUGCUUCUGAGGACAAGCAUUUGACACUGUGACCAGGCUUUCUGGGAAUGAACUAAUCCCACUGUGUUAUUAAUGGAGUUAUUCAACAGUACCAGACACAGAACCCUGAGGGACACCAGUUGUUACUAAGCUCUGUUUGGACAUUGAGCUGUUGACUGAAACUCUUUGGUCAUGGCCAUCUGCCCAAUUCCUUAUCCAUAGAAGAGUCUAUGUCUCCAACUUAGAGACAAGGAUGUUGUGUGGGACUGUGUCAAAGGCCUUGCAGAAGUUAAAGUAGGUACUUAAGUAGCUCUUCAUUUGUUUUAUUCAAUCUUUGUUUGUCACUGAUUUAGUCACUUUGUUGUAGAAGGCUACCAGGUUAGUCAGGCACAAUUUGACCUUUGUGAAGCCAGAAAAAUCAGAAAAUAAGUAU